AGUUCACCCUCCUCAAAGCCAUUAUGUGAUUCUUCCUUUUUCUUACCCUCUGCAGUCUUUUGGCUGCAGAUCCUCAGGGACUCGAGACAACUCCCUCCUGCUGAGCCUGAAGCACCCGCUCCCCUCCCUGAGGCACACGGCUGUGGAACAGCUAUUGGGAAUUGUCACCUUGAGACAGUAGGGCUUUGACCUGGCCUUCCUAUACGAGGCUCUGUUGGAGCGCAUGAAGGAGGACGUCCCCGAGGUUGUGGCUGCAGCUUUGAAGGCUCUGGAGGUGAGUGGCUGGAACAUCAGACUUUAAGGUACGUUCAUAUUGGAAUCUACUAGGAUUAAACCUAAUUUAUCCUAUAUAUCCUACUCAACUCUUUCUUGAUCCAGAGGACACUGUUUCAUGUCUACUCACUGCUGCCAUGCGUAGACCUCUCAAAGGCUGGGAACUGGUGUCCACAGUCGAAGGAGGCAGUGAGGGUUCUGGAGGAACCCAGACUGGUUGAGGGGAUCUCUGACCUGAGGGCUCGUGUCGUAGGGGAUCUGUUGCCCUUCCUUGUGAUCACCUCGGCCCUGCCUGACUCCCCAGACGGCCACUUGUGUGGCCCAGUCUCCACCCUCUUAUACCAGCACCACCGCACUCAGGGCUGGGCCCAUGCACUCAACGACGUGAUGGAGAGGAUUUCUCAGCCAACCAGCAUCUCAACACUGACCAAGAACCUGUCUAACAUGGACCCCUUCUCCAAACGCAAUGCUAUGAGUGAUUAGUAAAAAUUUGUUGGCGUAUCCAAAGUACCAUUGAAACAAACCUGCCUUGCUUUCCUGAAACUGAUAUGAUGAUUUUUGGAUCUCCGCGACCUAGCUCAGGUAAUAUCCCUUUUUGUGGCUCGAAAUUUGGAUUAACAUGCUGGUUUCAAGAGGAAAUUGUCAUA